rnacentral:rRNA from 1 species
UAUUGGUCAAUGGCCGGAAGGCUGAACCAGCCAUGCCGCGUGAAGGUCAGUGCCCUAUGGGCGUUAAACUUCUUUUGUGCGGGAGCAAUAAGGUCCACGUGUGGGCCGACGAGAGUACCGUACGAAUAAGCAUCGGCUAACUCCGUGCCAGCAGCCGCGGUAAUACGGAGGAUGCGAGCGUUAUCCGGAUUUAUUGGGUUUAAAGGGUGCGUAGGCGGGCUUUUAAGUCAGCGGUAAAAAUUCGGGGCUCAACCCCGUCCGGCCGUUGAAACUGGGGGCCUUGAGUGGGCGAGAAGAAGGCGGAAUGCGUGGUGUAGCGGUGAAAUGCAUAGAUAUCACGCAGAACCCCGAUUGCGAAGGCAGCUCACUGGACUGUUAACUGACACUGAGGCUCGAAAGUGUGGGUAUCAAAC